rnacentral:rRNA from 1 species
GACGAACGCUGGCGGCGUGCUUAACAUAUGCAAGUCGAACGGAAAGGCCCUGCUUUUGUGGGGUGCUCGAGUGGCGAACGGGUGAGUAACACGUGAGUAACCUGCCCUUGACUUUGGGAUAACUUCAGGAAACUGGGGCUAAUACCGGAUAGGAGCUCCUGCUGCAUGGUGGGGGUUGGAAAGUUUCGGCGGUUGGGGAUGGACUCGCGGCUUAUCAGCUUGUUGGUGGGGUAGUGGCUUACCAAGGCUUUGACGGGUAGCCGGCCUGAGAGGGUGACCGGCCACAUUGGGACUGAGAUACGGCCCAGACUCCUACGGGAGGCAGCAGUGGGGAAUAUUGCACAAUGGGCGGAAGCCUGAUGCAGCAACGCCGCGUGCGGGAUGACGGCCUUCGGGUUGUAAACCGCUUUCGCCUGUGACGAAGCGUGAGUGACGGUAAUGGGUAAAGAAGCACCGGCUAACUACGUGCCAGCAGCCGCGGUGAUACGUAGGGUGCGAGCGUUGUCCGGAUUUAUUGGGCGUAAAGGGCUCGUAGGUGGUUGAUCGCGUCGGAAGUGUAAUCUUGGGGCUUAACCCUGAGCGUGCUUUCGAUACGGGUUGACUUGAGGAAGGUAGGGGAGAAUGGAAUUCCUGGUGGAGCGGUGGAAUGCGCAGAUAUCAGGAGGAACGCCAGUGGCGAAGGCGGUUCUCUGGGCCUUUCCUGACGCUGAGGAGCGAAAGCGUGGGGAGCGAACAGGCUUAGAUACCCUGGUAGUCCACGCUGUAAACGGUGGGUACUAGGUGUGGGGUCCAUUCCACGGGUUCCGUGCCGUAGCUAACGCUUUAAGUACCCCGCCUGGGGAGUACGGCCGCAAGGCUAAAACUCAAAGGAAUUGACGGGGCCCCGCACAAGCGGCGGAGCAUGCGGAUUAAUUCGAUGCAACGCGUAGAACCUUACCUGGGUUUGACAUGGAUCGGGAGUGCUCAGAGAUGGGUGUGCCUCUUUUGGGGUCGGUUCACAGGUGGUGCAUGCCUGUCGUCAGCUCGUGUCGUGAGAUGUUGGGUUAAGUCCCGCAACGAGCGCAACCCUUGUUCACUGUUGCCAGCACGUUAUGGUGGGGACUCAGUGGAGACCGCCGGGGUCAACUCGGAGGAAGGUGGGGAUGACGUCAAGUCAUCAUGCCCCUUAUGUCCAGGGCUUCACGCAUGCUACAAUGGCUGGUACAGAGAGUGGCGAGCCUGUGAGGGUGAGCGAAUCUCGGAAAGCCGGUCUCAGUUCGGAUUGGGGUCUGCAACUCGACCUCAUGAAGUCGGAGUCGCUAGUAAUCGCAGAUCAGCAACGCUGCGGUGAAUACGUUCCCGGG